rnacentral:rRNA from 1 species
CCUACGGGAGGCAGCAGUGAGGAAUAUUGGUCAAUGGACGAGAGUCUGAACCAGCCAAGUCGCGUGAAGGAUGGAUGCCCUCUGGGUUGUAAACUUCUUUUAUAUGGGAAUAAACUGUUCCACGUGUGGGAUUUUGUAUGUACCUUAUGAAUAAGCAUCGGCUAACUCCGUGCCAGCAGCCGCGGUAAUACGGAGGAUCCGAGCGUUAUCCGGAUUUAUUGGGUUUAAAGGGAGCGUAGGUGGAUUGUUAAGUCAGGUGUGACAGUUUGGGGCUGAACCGUAAAAUUGCAGUUGAAACUGGCAGUCUUGAGUACGGUAGAGGUGAGCGGAAUUCGUGGUGUAGCGGUGAAAUGCGUAGAUAUCACGAAGAACUCCGAUGGCGAAGGCAGCUCACUGGACUGCAACUGACGCUGAGGCGCGAAAGUGUGGGUAUCGAACAGGAUUAGAUACCCCAGUAGUC